GCCUGGAUGGCUCAGUCGGUUGGGCGUCUGACUUCGGCUCAGGUCAUAAUCUCACAGUUGUGGGUUCAAGCUCCGCAUCGGGCU
rnacentral:tRNA from 1 species